CCUACGGGAGGCAGCAGUAGGGAAUUUUCGUCAAUGGGCGCAAGCCUGAACGAGCAAUGCCGCGUGAACGAGGAAGGUCUUCGGAUCGUAAAGUUCUGUUGAAGGGGAAAAAGAGCGGAGAGAGGAAAUGGUCUCCGAUUGAUAUUACCCUUCCAGGAAGUCACGGCUAACUACGUGCCAGCAGCCGCGGUAAUACGUAGGUGGCAAGCGUUAUCCGGAAUGAUUGGGCGUAAAGGGUGCGUAGGCGGCCUGUUAAGUCUGUAGUGAAAGGUACCGGCUCAACCGGUACAGGCUCUGGAAACUGGCGGGCUAGAGAGCAGGAGAGGGCGGUGGAACUCCAUGUGUAGCGGUAAAAUGCGUAGAUAUAUGGAAGAACACCAGUGGCGAAGGCGGCCGCCUGGCCUGUUACUGACGCUGAGGCACGAAAGCGUGGGGAGCAAAUAGGAUUAGAUACCCUUGUAGUC
rnacentral:rRNA from 1 species